UAGCGUAUGUUAAAGUUGUUGCGGCUAAAAAGCUCGUAGUUGGAUUUCUAGAUGAGAGGAGUGGUCCACUCUAUGAGUGUGUAUCUACUUCCGCUUGUCUAUCCGCUCUGCAGACGUGUUCGCGCUUAAGUGCGUGGUACGGAGGUAGGGCCUUUUACUUUGAGGAAAUUAGAGUGUUCACGGCAGGCAUCCGCCUUGAAUAUAUUAGCAUGGAAUAAUAACAUAGGAUCUUGGUUCUAUUUUGUUGGUUUCUAGGACUAAGAUAAUGAUUAAUAGGGACAAUUGGGGGCAUUCGUAUCGCGGUGUC
rnacentral:rRNA from 1 species